GGAUGAGCUCAUCUCUCCUUUCUCUCUCUUUCUCCCUUGAAGCCAUGGGAUACCAUUACCAUGCUUGACAAAAAUCAGGGUUUAAGAGCCUGUCGGAAUCGAGGCAAGGCCCUGAUCCCACCCUCCUCGAUCUAUUCCUUUUUCCAGCCAUGUCCAAUGCUAACACUCGUCGCCAAAGUCCUAACCUCUUCCCUAUGUUG
rnacentral:lncRNA from 1 species